rnacentral:rRNA from 1 species
UUUGGUGGCGAUAGCGAAGAGGUCACACCCGUUCCCAUACCGAACACGGAAGUUAAGCUCUUCAGCGCCGAUGGUAGUCGGGGGUUUCCCCCUGUGAGGGUAGGACGCCGCCAAGC